CCUGUAUGUGCUGGCAUGUGUUGGAUGGAACUCAAAAGUAAGUAAAUAAAUAAAUGCAGAGACCAAGUGGUGGCAUUUCCCAUGUGUGGGGAAUAGUUUUUAUGUCAACUCAACACAAGCUAAAGUUAUCUGAACGGAGGGUAUCUCAACUGAGGAAAUGCUUACGUAAGAUCCAGCUGUAGGGCAUUUUCUUAAUUAGUGAUUGAUGUGGGAGGGCCCAGCCUAUUAUGGGCAGGGCCGUUCCAGGGCUGGUGUCUUGAGUUAUAUAAGAAAGCAGACUGAGCAAGCCAUGGGGAGCAAGCCAGUAAGCAGCACCCCUCCAUGGCUUCUGCAUCAGCUCCUGCCUCCAGGUUCCUGCCCUGUUCAGGUUCUUGUCCUGACUUCCUUCCAUGAUGAAGAAGUGAGUGCUGUGGAGGUGUAAACUGAAUAAAUCUUUCCUUCCCCA
rnacentral:lncRNA from 1 species